rnacentral:rRNA from 1 species
AGUCACUGACAUUAGACUACCCCCGUAGUCCAGGGUGUAAACGCUGCAGACUUGGUGUUGGAGGCCCUUUGGGGGCAUUCAGUGCCGGAGAGAAGUUGUUAAGUCUGCUACUUGGGGAGUACGUCCGCAAGGAUGAAACUUAAAGGAAUUGGCGGGGGAGCACCGCAACGGGAGGAGCGUGCGGUUUAAUUGGAUUCAACACCGUAAACUCACCAGGGAAGACUGUUACAUGAAGGCCGAGAUGAAGACUCUGCUAGAUUUUCAG